CCUACGGGAGGCAGCAGUGGGGAAUCUUGCGCAAUGGGCGAAAGCCUGACGCAGCCAUGCCGCGUGAAUGAUGAAGGUCUUAGGAUUGUAAAAUUCUUUCACCGGGGACGAUAAUGGCGGUACCCGGAGAAGAAGCCCCGGCUAACUUCGUGCCAGCAGCCGCGGUAAUACGAAGGGGGCUAGCGUUGCUCGGAAUUACUGGGCGUAAAGGGAGCGUAGGCGGAUAGUUUAGUCAGAGGUGAAAGCCCAGGGCUCAACCUUGGAAUUGCCUUUGAUACUGGCUAUCUUGAGUAUGGGAGAGGUAUGCGGAACUCCGAGUGUAGAGGUGAAAUUCGUAGAUAUUCGGAAGAACACCAGUGGCGAAGGCGGCAUACUGGCCCAUUACUGACGCUGAGGCUCGAAAGCGUGGGGAGCAAACAGGAUUAGAUACCCUGGUAGUCCACGCUGUAAACGAUGAGUGCUAGUUGUCGGCGAUGCAUGCAUGUCGGUGGUACGCGAGCUAACGACAUUAAGUACGACCGUCCGCCGUCGGGGUAGGUACGGGUCGGCGAAGUAAGUUAAACGUUAACGAAAGUAGUUAAGUUAGUACGGCGUUGAGACGNGCCGACGGACGACGACGAGGGAGGAGG
rnacentral:rRNA from 1 species